AGCAGCGUGGCUCAGUGGAAAGAGCAUGGGCUUGGGAGUCAGAGGUCAUGGGUUCGAAUCCCAGCUCUGCCA
rfam:Ornithorhynchus anatinus chromosome X5, whole genome shotgun sequence.